CAAUAGCGUAUAUUUAAGUUGUUGCAGUUAAAAAGCUCGUAGUUGGAUUUUGGGUCGGGGGCACCGGUCCGCCGUUCCGGUGUGCACUGGUGGCCCCUUCCUUUCUGCCGGGGACGUGCGUCGCACUUAAUUGGGUGGCGUUCGGAGUCGGCGUUGUUACUUUGAAAAAAUUAGAGUGUUCAAAGCAAGCCAUCGCUCUGAAUACAUUAGCAUGGAAUAACAUGAUAGGACUCCGGUCUUAUUUUGUUGGUUUCCGAGACUGGGGUAAUGAUUAAGAGGGACAGUCGGGGGCAUCCGUAUUUCAUUGUCAGAGGUGAAAUUCUUGGAUUUAUGAAAGACGAACUUCUGCGAAAGCAUUUGCCAAGGAUGUUUUCAUUAA
rnacentral:rRNA from 1 species